UGCCUGGUGGCUCAGUGGUAAAAAGAAUCUACCUGCCAAGCAGGAGAUCCAGGUUCAAUUCCUGGGUGGGAAA
rnacentral:tRNA from 1 species